rnacentral:rRNA from 1 species
GUGGACGCCAGUCUGCGUGGAGCCGACCUUGAAAUACCACCCUUUAAUGUUUGAUGUUCUAACGUGGACCCGUAAUCCGGGUUGCGGACAGUGUCUGGUGGGUAGUUUGACUGGGGCGGUCUCCUCCUAAAGAGUAACGGAGGAGCACGAAGGUUGGCUAAUCCUGGUCGGACAUCAGGAGGUUAGUGCAAUGGCAUAAGCCAGCUUGACUGCGAGCGUGACGGCGCGAGCAGGUGCGAAAGCAGGUCAUAGUGAUCCGGUGGUUCUGAAUGGAAGGACCAUCGCUCAACGGAUAAAAGGUACUCCGGGGAUAACAGGCUGAUACCGCCCAAGAGUUCAUAUCGACGGCGGUGUUUGGCACCUCGAUGUCGGCUCAUCACAUCCUGGGGCUGAAGUAGGUCCCAAGGGUAUGGCUGUUCGCCAUUUAAAGUGGUACGCGAGCUGGGUUUAGAACGUCGUGAGACAGUUCGGUCCCUAUCUGCCGUGGGCGCUGGAGAACUGAGGGGGGCUGCUCCUAGUACGAGAGGACCGGAGUGGACGCAUCACUGGUGUUCGGGUUGUCAUGCCAAUGGCACUGCCCGGUAGCUAAAUGCGGAAGAGAUAAGUGCUGAAAGCAUCUAAGCACGAAACUUGCCCCGA